ACAGAUGGCAGAGUCUGUGGCAGGCAAAAAGGUCUUCCUCAUUAAUUACUUCACUCUUCAAGUCCUCUGCUACAGACAUCUCUAUGCACAAAACAGUGACCAAACAAGAGUCUGCUUUCCCUGCCUUGUGAAACAAUGCUAACACUUGGUGCCUGAGCUGCUGUCCUAGGGACCUCUGAGGACUUGCUCAAGAUGGAAAUGCUGUCUGAGCCCAGCUCCUGUAAAUACUUUGGCCCAUCCUGGACUUUAAAAGGAAGAUCAGCAAUGCUGAGCUCUCUCAAAUUCCCUCGAGGGCAGCUUUUUCUCCUGUGCCCUAGACAGUCCUGUCAGCUGCUGUGCUCCAGUGACAAGAUGGCUGCAUUUCAUAGCAAA